AGCUUUGUGCAGUGUCAGUAUUGUAGCCAAUGAGGUUUAUCCGAGGCGCGAUUAUUGCUAAUUGAAAGAUACAUGAAAGAACAAUGAGGCAAAAUUUGCCUUACCAAAUAUCAAAAUAUACCAUAAAGUCAUUGUAAUUCAAAUGAAU